rnacentral:rRNA from 1 species
UACAGAGGGUGCAAACGUUUGUUCGGAUUUACUGGGCGUAAAGCGCGUGUAGGCUGCUUCGCAAGUCGGAUGUGAAAGCCCUGGGCUCAACCCAGGAAGUGCAUUCGAAACUGCAGAGCUGGAGUCCUGGAGAGGAAGGCGGAAUUCUCGGUGUAGAGGUGAAAUUCGUAGAUAUCGAGAGGAACACCUGUGGCGAAGGCGGCCCCCCUGGGCCGGCCCUGACACUGAGACGCGAAGGCGUGGGGAGCGAACGGG